rnacentral:rRNA from 1 species
GAUGAACGCUGGCGGCGUGCUUAACACAUGCAAGUCGAGCGAAGCACUUACCAUUGACUCUUCGGAAGAUUUGGUAAAUGACUGAGCGGCGGACGGGUGAGUAACGCGUGGGUAACCUGCCUCAUACAGGGGAAUAACAGUUAGAAAUGGCUGCUAAUGCCGCAUAAGCGCACAGUACCGCAUGGUACGGUGUGAAAAACCGAGGUGGUAUGAGAUGGACCCGCGUCUGAUUAGGUAGUUGGUGGGGUAACGGCCUACCAAGCCGACGAUCAGUAGCCGGCCUGAGAGGGUGAACGGCCACAUUGGGACUGAGACACGGCCCAGACUCCUACGGGAGGCAGCAGUGGGGAAUAUUGCACAAUGGGGGAAACCCUGAUGCAGCGACGCCGCGUGAAGGAAGAAGUAUCUCG